AUGAACGCUGGCGGCGUGCCUCAUACAUGCCAGUCGAGCGAACAGACGAGGAGCUUGCUCCUCUGACGUUAGCGGCGGACGGGUGAGUAACACGUUGAUAACCUACCUAUAAGACUGUGAUAACUUCGGGAAACCGGAUCUAAUACCGGCUACUAUAUUGAACCGCCUGGUUCAAUAGUGAAAGCCGGUUUUGCUGUCACUUAUAGAUGGAUCCGCGCCGCAUUAGCUAGUUGGUAAGGUAACGGCUUACCAAGGCAACGAUGCGUAGCCGACCGGAGAGGGUGAUCGGCCACACUGGAACUGAGACACGGUCCAGACUCCUACGGGAGGCAGCAGUAGGGAAUCUUCCGCAAUGGGCGAAAGCCUGACGGAGCAACGCCGCGUGAGUGAUGAAGGUCUUCGGAUCGUAAAACUCUGUUAUUAGGGAAGAACAAAUGUGUAAGUAACUAUGCACGUCUUGACGGUACCUAAUCAGAAAGCCACGGCUAACUACGUG
rnacentral:rRNA from 1 species